rnacentral:sRNA from 12 species
UGUGCAAGGGCAAGUAUUACCCCUUGCACACUUCCGUCGCACGUCGCA